rnacentral:rRNA from 1 species
GCCAGCCCGCUCAGAACUUAAAGGAAUUGACGGGGCCCGCACAAGCGGUGGAGCAUGUGGUUUAAUUCGAUGAUACGCGAGGAACCUUACCUGGGCUCAAAUGUAUGUUGACGUAUCUGAAAGGGAUACUUCUUCGGACAAUAUACAAGGUGCUGCAUGGUUGUCGUCAGCUCGUGCCGUGAGGUGUCGGGUUAAGUCCCGUAACGAGCGCAACCCCUAUCAUUAGUUGCCAUCAGGUCAAGCUGGGGACUCUAAUGAAACUGCCUACGCAAGUAGUGAGGAAGGUGGGGAUGACGUCAAAUCAUCAUGCCCCUUAUGAUCUGGGCUACACACGUGCUACAAUGGCCGGUACAACGGGCAGCGAAGGAGCGAUCCGGAGCGAAUCCUAAAAAGCCGGUCCCAGUUCGGAUUGCAGGCUGAAACUCGCCUACAUGAAGUUGGAGUUGCUAGUAAUCGCGAAUCAGAAUGUCGCGGUGAAUGCGUUCCCGGGUCUU